rnacentral:tRNA from 1 species
UGGCUCAGUGGUAGAGUGCUUGCCUUGCACGCAUGAGGUCCUGGGUUCGAUUCCUCAG